UACUCUCACACUCGCGAUCUUUGGAUCGCGAGCGGUGGACUUGGGUGUUGCUGCGUUACCCGUGGCUCACCUCAAAUGGAGUAGUGCACCUCUUGGUUGGACAUAGUACGGCGUGAUAAGUGUCUUCGCCGGCGCCUCACUUGUUGAGGGUGGCCGAUCGGGAGCUCUGUGCUUCAAACCGUCUUCGGACAACAACUGACA
rnacentral:misc_RNA from 1 species